GGAAUAUUGGGCAAUGGGCGCAAGCCUGACCCAGCGACGCCGCGUGAGGGAUGAAGGCCUUCGGGUUGUAAACCUCUUUCAGUAGGGAAGAAGCGAAAGUGACGGUACCUAAAGAAGAAGCACCGGCUAACUAUGUGCCAGCAGCCGCGGUAAUACAUAGGGUGCAAGCGUUGUCCGGAAUUAUUGGGCGUAAAGAGCUCGUAGGUCGUUUGCCGCGUCGACUGUGAAAAUCUGAGGCUCAACCUCAGACCUGCAGUCGAUACGGGCAAACUAGAGUGUGGUAGGGGAGACUGGAAUUCCUGGUGUAGCGGUGGAAUGCGCAGAUAUCAGGAGGAACACCAAUGGCGAAGGCAGGUCUCUGGGCCAUAACUGACACUGAGGAGCGAAAGCGCGGGGAGCGAACAGGAUUAGAUACCCUGGUAGUCCGCGCCGUAAACGAUGGGCACUAGCUGUGAGAGCCUUCCACGGUUCUCGCGACGCAGCAAACGCAUUAAGUGCCCCGCCUGGGGAGUACGAUCGCAAGAUUAAAACUCAAAGGAAUUGACGG
rnacentral:rRNA from 1 species